rnacentral:ncRNA from 1 species
ACACAAAGGCAAACCUGUUGAAAAGCAGGGACGCAAAGCCAAGGGUCUAAGGUCGCAGAGACUAUGACAGCCGGUUGCCGC